CGUCAAGUCAUCAUGGCCCUUAUGUCCAGGGCUACACACGUAAUACAAUGGCGCCCAACAGAGGGAAGCGAGGCCGCGAGGCGGAGCGAACCCCGAAAAGGCGCCCCAGUUCGGAUCGCAGGCUGCAACCCGCCUGCGUGAAGCCGGAAUUGCUAGUAAUCGCGGAUCAGCAAGCCGCGGUGAAUACGUUCCCGGGCCUU
rnacentral:rRNA from 1 species